CGAAAGCCUGACGGAGCAAGACCGCGUGAGGGAGGAAGGCUCUUGGGUUGUAAACCUCUUUUCUCAGGGAAGAAGCUCUGACGGUACCUGAGGAAUCAGCCUCGGCUAACUCCGUGCCAGCAGCCGCGGUAAUACGGAGGAGGCAAGCGUUAUCCGGAAUUAUUGGGCGUAAAGCGUUCGUAGGCGGUUUUAUAAGUCUGCUGUCAAAGUGCGGAGCUCAACUCCGUAAGAGCAGUGGAAACUGUGAGACUUGGGUGUGGUAGGGGUAGAGGGAAUUCCCGGUGUAGCGGUGAAAUGCGUAGAUUUCGGGAAGAACAUCGGUGGCGAAAGCGCUCUGCUGGGCCGCAACUGACACUCAGGGACGAAAGCUAGGGGAGCG
rnacentral:rRNA from 1 species